rnacentral:rRNA from 1 species
GGUGUAAGCGGCCAAGCAAGUCAAAUGUGAAAUCCCUCGGCUUAACCGAGGAAGUGCAUCUGAAACUGCUUGGCUUGAGUAUGGGAGAGGAAGGCGGAAUUCCCGGUGUAGCGGUGACAUGCGUAGAUAUCGGGAGGAACACCGGUGGCGAAGGCGGCCUUCUGGCCCAAUACUGACGCUGAGACCCGAAAGCGUGGGGAGCAAACAGGAUUAGAUACCCUGGUAGUCCACGCCGUAAACGUUGGGUACUAGGUGUGGGAGGUUUAAUACCUUCUGUGCCGGAGCUAACGCAUUAAGUACCCCGCCUGGGGAGUACGGUCGCAAGAUUAAA